CUACUGCAUCGUGUACACCAUGCAUACCGUCUGUUCCUCCCCCCAGAACAAGUCUGUUCCCUUUUGGUUUCACUGGUGUUACUGGAUUUACCGUCUGUUCCUCCCCAGAACAAGUCUGUUCCCUUUUGGUUUUCACUGUGUGUUACUGGAUUACUGUCUGUUCCUCCCCUAGAACAAGUCUGUUCCUUUUGGUUCACUGUGUGUUACUGGGAUUUACUGUCUUUCCUCCCUAGAACAAGUCUGUUCCCUUUUGGUUUCACUGUGUGUUAACUGGAUUUACCGUCUGUUCCUCCCCUAGAACAAGUCUGUUCCCUUUUGGGUUUCGCUGUGUGUUACUGCGAUUUACCGUCUGUUCCUCCCAGAACAAGUCUGUUCUCUCCCCAGAACAAGUCGUUUCAAGGCUCUCCUGGGAACAGAAAGAGACAACCGGUGACACAACCAGAAGACAGACUUGACUACACAUGGCUGACAUGGUUCAUCUGUGGCGUUACGCGGGGAUUCUCCCGUGAACCCGGUAACUGUGGCAACGCUGUAACUGUCCUCUGAUUGACAGCUGGGCUGGGGCGGAAUGCAAACACCCACAAACCUUAAAACUGGCUUUCUGCACUUUCUGCUACCUUGUUAUCUUCACCACAUAAAGCACUGCGAAGACCAAGGCUGUCCUAAUGUUCUGCCACCUCAGUCCUUCUCCUGGCUCUGGACUGACUGCCAACGGUGGGUAGUAGAUGGGCCAAUGACUGAACAGAAGAGUUGGGAGCGGGGCCCAAAGCCAAUGUCACCAUUUGAUUGAAGAUAAAUGUUUUCACGUCGCUUAUGGCUAAACACGUGCUAUCGCUUUGUAAUUAUUUAUUCGGAAAAAGGAUUCUCCCUUUUUUUUUUAAUUGAAAUGUUGAUCAAAUAAUUGGAGAUAUUUAAUUUUAUAAAGCUUUCUAAGUAUGUGA